AUUGAACGCUGGCGGCAGGCCUAACACAUGCAAGUCGAACGAGUGGCGGACGGGUGAGUAAUGUCUGUAAACCCGCCUGAUGGAGGGGGAUAACUACUGGAAACGGUAGCUAAUACCGCAUACCAUCAGAUGUUCCCAGAUGGGAUUAGCGUGUUGGUGGGGUAACGGCGCACCAAGGCGACGAUCCCUAGCUGGUCUGAGAGGAUGACCAGCCACACUGGAACUGAGACACGGUCCAGACUCCUACGUGAGGCAGCAGUUGGGAAUAUUGCACAAUGGGCGCAAGCCUGAUGCAGCAAUGCCGAGUGAAUGAAGAAGGCCUUCGGGUUGUAAAGUACUUUCAGCGGGGAGGCGGUACCCGAAGAGGAAGCACCGGCUAACUACGUGCCAGCAGCCGCGGUAAUAC
rnacentral:rRNA from 1 species